rnacentral:pre_miRNA from 1 species
AGACAGAAAGACAGACAGACGGGGAUAAGGUAGAGCAUGAGAUGGACCAAAUCAACAUCAAAAUAUGUUGUUUGCUCUUCCCAUGCACUGCCUCUUCCCUGGCUCUCUCCCUCUCCUUCUCC